CUUUUCUACAUUUUUCAGAAAGUAUUUCACCGAUAUAACAUAUUAAAAAUGUAUUUAAUACUAUACACGUCACGCAAAAAGCAUAUGCACUGAGGGCUCUAACAUCACGUCCAGACCAUUCCUACGAAAAAAUGAAUAUGAAAUAAUAAAGAAAUUUCUGGAUGAUGUGUUGUAUUACGAAUGAAUCAUCAUGUGAUCAUCAGUUAGAAAAAAUAUUUUUAAUAGAGGAAUGCACAAAACUAAUGAUCAUAAAAACGAAGUUCUUAAUAAAUAUAUUUAAUUUAAAAAAUAGCAUACCGCAAGAAUGCAAUAGCUAAACAAGCAUAUACUGAAAAUAUUCUUGAACAUUUCCAUGAAGCAUAUUGGACUCAAUAGAUGUUCAGUACGUCCUAGAAAACUUCACAGUUAAUACGUAAUUAGAAAAAAUUCUCUCAAAAGGGAUAGAGAUAAAUAGAUAUAUAAAAGGAGUUAAACAGUAGAAACAAAAAGAAAUUAAUCAAAAAAUAGUACCUAAGAAUUCUUAAAUGAUGUUCGAUGAUUACACUCAUUUCAUUAACUCGCAUAUUUUUAUUUUCUUCUUGUGGCCGAUUUACAAAUUCUUCGAUCCACGUAACCAUUAUAGUUAACUGGCCAACAGCAUGGCAUGCAAAUACCGUAGCAAGACUGAAAGCGAUAACAACGGUAGUACUCAUAAUGCACGUUGUCAAAAAUUGAAAACCAAGUACGAUACUAUGCCCUGGAUUAGUAUCAACCGGAAUUUUAUAAGUUGGAUAAGUCCAUCAAUAAUUUUUCGCAAUUUCAUCAUCAGAUUUCGAAAUUGUGUAUAUCUUUGCAUAACAAAAAUGGCCAAACUGCAAAAUUGAAUGAUGGCAGAUAUCAUCGUUGAACCAAGCAUUGCAUCAUUUGCAAGAUUUUGAAGAAAGGAUUUUGAUUUCGUUAUCGAUUCCUCUGUUUUGUGCAAAGAGGCAAAACAAUAGUAUAAAAGAAUCUUGCGGAAUACAUAAAAUCAACGGAGUUGAUGUAAUUUUAAAUUUAUUUAACUGACCAGCGGCGUGGCAUGCAAAUACAGUAGCAAGGCUGAAAGCGAUAACAACGGUAGCGCUCAUAAUGCAUCCUGUCAGAAAUUGAAAACCAAGAACGAUACUGUGCUCUAGAUUGGUAUCAACC